UAGCAUACUCGGGCUGCCCUUAACGUUAGUUACCCGAUUCUUACCCUCACAAACUGGGCGAAGACAUCAGAGAUGUUCCACUCUUUGCAUCGCAGACCAUUGCCUGGCAGCAGACAUGGACCGAGUGGCCAUUGGCAGAGUCCUGAAGGGUAUACGCUGUAUAGGCAUCACGCUUUACGGCUGUCCAUGUGUACCAUGUACUGCUUAUAUAUCCACC
rnacentral:sRNA from 1 species